AAGCGCUUAUGACCAGACUUGGGCUUGGUUGAUCAUCCUGGAUUCUUCCUGGUGCACUCUUCCAGUUCAGGCCAGCAUCAGUUCGCUGCGGGGGAUAAAAGUUUUAGGAAUGUGGCUCCCUCGGGA
rnacentral:rRNA from 1 species